rnacentral:rRNA from 1 species
AAUCAACGCUGGCGGCGUGCCUCAGACAUGCAAGUCGAACGAUUAAAGCUCUCUUCGGAGAGUGCAUAGAGUGGCGCACGGGUGAGUAACACGUAAGUAAUCUACCUUCGAGUGGGGAAUAACAGUCGGAAACGACUGCUAAUACCGCAUAAUGCAGCGGCAUCGCAAGAUGACAGUUGUUAAAGGAGCAAUUCGCUUGAAGAGGAGCUUGCGGCAGAUUAGCUUGUUGGUAAGGUAACGGCUUACCAAGGCUACGAUCUGUAACCGGUCUAAGAGGACGGUCGGUCACACUGACACUGAAUAACGGGUCAGACUCCUACGGGAGGCAGCAGUCGGGAAUUUUGGGCAAUGGGCGAAAGCCUGACCCAGCAACGCCGCGUGAAGGAUGAAGUAUUUCGGUAUGUAAACUUCGAAAGAAUGGGAAGAAUCAAUGACGGUACCAUUUAUAAGGUCCGGCUAACUACGUGCCAGC